GACGAACGCUGGCGGCGUGCCUAAUACAUGCAAGUUGAGCGCUGAAGGUUGGUACUUGUACCAACUGGAUGAGCAGCGAACGGGUGAGUAACGCGUGGGGAAUCUGCCUUUGAGCGGGGGACAACAUUUGGAAACGAAUGCUAAUACCGCAUAAAAACUUUAAACACAAGUUUUAAGUUUGAAAGAUGCAAUUGCAUCACUCAAAGAUGAUCCCGCGUUGUAUUAGCUAGUUGGUGAGGUAAAGGCUCACCAAGGCGAUGAUACAUAGCCGACCUGAGAGGGGGAUCGGCCACAUUGGGACUGAGACACGGCCCAAACUCCUACGGGAGGCAGCAGUAGGGAAUCUUCGGCAAUGGACGAAAGUCUGACCGAGCAACGCCGCGUGAGUGAAGAAGGUUUUCGGAUCGUAAAACUCUGUUGGUAGAGAAGAACGUUGGUGAGAGUGGAAAGCUCAUCAAGUGACGGGAACUACCCAGAAAGGGACGGCUAACUACG
rnacentral:rRNA from 1 species